GAUGAACGCUAGCUACAGGCUUAACACAUGCAAGUCGAGGGUCCGGCGCACGGGUGAGUAACAUGUAUCCAACCUGCCCUUUACUCGGUGAUAGCCUUUCGAAAGAAAUAUUAAUACCCGACGUAAAGUAUGGGGAUGCGUUCCAUUAGGUUGUUGGGGAGGUAACGGCUCACCAAGCCUUCGAUGGAUAGGUGUUCGGAGAGGAAGGUACACGACAUUGGAACUACGAUCCGGUCCAAUCUGCGACGGGAGGGAGGAGUGAGUAAUAUUGGGCAAUGGGCGCUAGCCUGAACCAGCCACGUAGAGUGAAGAAUGAAUGGUUAUGGGUCGUAAACUUCUUGUAUAUAAGGUGAUGUAUUAUAUGAAUAAGGAUCGGCUAACUCCGUGCCAGCAGCCGCGGUAAUAC
rnacentral:rRNA from 1 species